rnacentral:lncRNA from 1 species
GCGGGGAUAUAGGAGAGAGGGGGCGUGGCUUUGUCGUGUGGCUGUGAGAUGUUAAUAAAGAAAGCCGAGUGGUCAGACAAACUGAAAAUGAGCUUUGAGGAGAAAUUGCAGAUCUGGUGGAAAUGUGCCAAGCUGGACUAAAGUAUAGUUUCUACAGUGAGAAGUUUUGCAAGUUUCAUUGGAGAGAAAAAAAAAGAGCAACCCAUUAUAACAAAAGAAUAUUUUAGGGAAGAGUUUGAUGAUGAGGAUGGAUGGCAGGAACGAUGGGUUCUGUCUAAACAUAGAAGUGAUUAUGGUAAAUUUCGGAUAGGAUCAGGAAGAUUUUAUGGUGACAGAGAAAAAGAUAAAGGUAAAGUAAUAUUUUUUCAGGCAAUUAUGAAACUUUAGGUUUUUUUGAAAUAUUUCCUAACGAAUUG